rnacentral:rRNA from 1 species
AGUCGGACGGGGCCGCUUCGGCGGCUUACGUGGCGGACGGGUGAGGAACACGUGGGCAACCUGCCCCGAGGUGGGGGGUAGCCCGUGGAAACAUGGGGUAAUUCCGCAUAGCCUCGCUGGCUGGUGGGGUCGGCGAGGAAAGCCCGGGUGGCGACACCGGGGCGCCUUGGGAGGGGUCUGCGGCCGAUUAGCUGGCUGGUGGGGUCACGGCCUACCAGGGCGAUGAUCGGUAGCUGGUCUGAGAGGAUGGCCAGCCACAGGGGAACUGAGACACGGUCCCCACUCCUACGGGAGGCAGCAGCAAGGAAUUUUCCACAAUGGGCGCAAGCCUGAUGGAGCAACGCCGCGUGCGGGAGGACGCCUUUCGGGGUGUAAACCGCUGUUGUCCGGGACGAAGGCCGGGGUGACCC